GCAACUUUCCUGUGAGUACUCUUAUCGUGAGGUGAGGUACUACUAUCGUGAGUUGUUCACCGACUGGAUGAGGUGGAUGAGAGAUGAUCUAUCACAUCAUGGCCGAUUUCCUCAUCUAGUCCUGUCAAAUUGUCCUCGCGAAGACGGACGACUGGCCUUCUGUCGGCAGGGCAGAAAAAUAGAGAUAUCCUCUAUUGCAGACUAACCACUGAAUAACUACCGAAUAAAGAGAGCGAGUGGGACAUUGUAUGAGACAUGUAAUGUCGG